CACCAUCCUUCGAGUCUUUCUUCUCAAAUUUAUCACUAAAAAAUGGUAUCUUUUCUACAUUCUUCACUCUGCUUUUAGUUCCCUUGGUCUCCUUCACAAAGAAAAUUUUAUUUAAAAAAAAAAAAAGAAGCUAACUUCUUCAACGUCUCAUACUUUCUAAAGGCUGGACCUUUUAACAUGUCUCAACCGUUAAUAGGACAACUCCCUUAAGAUCUUGCUCUCUCAAAAUCUAUGAAACCUUUACUUGCAAGGGAACUGUCUUUGGGUGAGGCCAAAUCUUGUUGGUAACAGUUAUGCCGCAUGUAGCAAAUUUCAUCAGCCUCUCAACAUAUAUUACGAACCUCACAGUUUACUCGUAGAGAGUUAAAUAUGAGUUUCUUAAUAAAAUCAAUGCCACUGCAAACAAAUUAGUUCACGAACCUCAACUCGGAGAAUUUUGGAGAGCGAACUUUGGAGAGAAACAUUCACUAAGGCUAUAUGAAGACCACUUGGAGGUUUAAGGUAACUGAUUGCCAGUUACCCUAAAACGUAGGACAUAGCAUCACCAUCACUACCAAGAACAUAAGAUUAGACUUCAAUGUCGAUGACCUUAAGACAAGUAUCCAAAUUUGUUUCCCACUAUAAAAGAGUCAUGUAAACAACUCACAAGGACUAACGGACAUACUCCUUCCUGAUUUUCCUAACUCUCCCCAAAACUUAAAUCUUUCCCUAGCUUUCACCACACCCUCCUUCAUUCAACCAUCAUCUUCCUCCCUUGUUCAUCUUACUAGUUAACAAUUGGUGCGGCGAACGUGUACGAGCAUGACGAAUCUAGGUGUCAUUGAUCCUCCCAGCAUCGAGUUUGAUCCCACCCAUGACCAGAUUAUAGACCCCAUAGGUCGUAACAUUGGAGAAACACAGAUCAAGCUAGAACAACCCAAUAUCCAAACCUCUUCCAUGAAAAUCAGCAUACCAACCUACAAGAUCAAGCCAAUCCUAAAACCAAAACCAAUAAAAUACGUAUCAACAAAACGCAUACCAACAAUUCUAUCAGUACCCCCCAUGGUAUUACAAUCCUAAUAAUCAACAUCACACCAGAGCAUCACCAACCGACCAAGAAUCUCAGCAUCAUUAGUUCGAUGGUCAACAAUAUCUGAACAUACAAGAGAGGAUAAGAGCCAUGGAGGAGCAAAUUAACUCUCAGCAAAAAGGAUACGAAGAACAUCAAAAGUUUAUCCAAGAGCAAAUCAAUAGACAAAGGCAAGUAGAUGAAAGAAAUGAAAGAAACGUAAAGCUUAUCGAUGAGUUAAGAGCAGACAUGAGGAAUUGAGAUCAAAACCCAAGGCGUGGAGGGGAUGAACCUACCCAUUCCAAUUGCGAUCAUCAACAUGCAAACCAAUGUAAUGAAAAUGUGGUAGAUGAUGUUGAUAUGGAUGAUAGUUAUGAUGAAGAUUAUGAUGAUAGUUAUAACUACUCUGGUAAGAAUACUUUAGAAGAAAAAAUGGUGAAAGGAUAGAAAAGCAUUUACAGGAUUUUUAGAAAGGUG
rnacentral:lncRNA from 1 species